GUUUUAGUUAAAAUAAUUACAUGUACAUAUAAACUAACAAUUUUAUACAACAAAUGAAAGCUUUCACGUCUUUGUUCAGAGCAAAAACAAGAAUAUGAAGUAUUGCUUUUAGAUUAAAUAUUUGACAUUUCAAAAUAAUAAUAUGUGUAACACGUGGAUGUAGUAUUGAAAAAUAUAUCUUUCAAACUACGUUUCAGUAGAAACGAACUGGAUUAGUGAAGGCAACGGUAAAGCAAUCCAUUAACUGAAUACAUCUAAAAGAAGCAUCACAGGGGAUUAAAAAAAAAUACACGUGAUAUAUUAAUAUCUUUUAAACUGCCUAUACCAUGGCAACCCAACGAAUAAUUAAAAAGUAAUAUCAGUUGAUAACGGGAGUUAAUAUUGUUGUUAAAAUUAUAUUUCAUGGUGUAAUGUACAUAUUGCCUUGUUUUAUGAAUUGAAAUUCAGUUUUAUUGUACCUUUUAAGUGUAAUUUUAUGUAAAGUGCACUUUAAAAAAAAACAUGAUUCAUUCC
rnacentral:sRNA from 1 species